GUAACGAAUUGCUGUAAAAACUACAGCGUUAUUUUACAGAAGCUGACUGUAUUUUAAAUAAUACAGAAUAUUGCUGUAAAGUGCAAUGCAUUCUGGGGUCACUUGACGGAUUAACUCAAUGUACAGAAUAUUGCUGUAAAUUUCAAAUCUACAAUGGCGGGAUGAUCUUCAACAGUCGAGAUUGGGGUAGUGCGCAAAAUGAAUGAUUCACACCUGUGGACACACUUUGCCAUGCAGGCCACUGGAUGCUGACUACUGAAGGUUAGGUUGUGUGUGACUGUGACGUGCUCAGCACAGCUUCAUGUCUGGCCUUCCCACUCUGUUCAUAACAUGUUACAUAUUCAGGCUUGAGUACCAGGAUGGGGCAGCAUGUACUUGGAGUCCAAUGAAAGAUAUUAAUCCAGAGAGUGGAACAAGAAGCAUCAUCUAAAAUGCCAGGAAACAGAAGAAACAGGUUGCAGUGAACCCACAUGUUGCCGCUCUUCUAAACACAAUGAUGAAUAUUCAGUGUAAUCGAUGAAAAUUCCAGCUACUUGUUGUGCUCUGAUGGAUCAAGAUGUGGACCGUUUUACAGACUCACUUGGGCCUUGUUUUGCAAUGUUGUUUCAUGAUGGUAAUGUUGGUUAACGUGUUGUUUAAACAUGAAUGUUUAAAGAGCCAUGUUGGAUACUAUGAAGUUGUUACUGAAUAAAAUUAUUUCAUGUACAACAACGUACACA